rnacentral:rRNA from 1 species
UACAGAGGGGGCAAGCGUUGUUCGGAAUUACUGGGUGUAAAGGGCGCGUAGGCGGCCUGUUAAGUCGAACGUGAAAUCCCCAGGCUCAACCUGGGAACUGCGUCCGAUACUGGCAGGCUUGAAUCCGGGAGAGGGAUGCGGAAUUCCAGGUGUAGCGGUGAAAUGCGUAGAUAUCUGGAGGAACACCGGUGGCGAAGGCGGCAUCCUGGACCGGUAUUGACGCUGAGGCGCGAAAGCCAGGGGAGCAAACGGG